ACUGUCUCGGGGAUUUGCUCGGUGAAAAUACAAUACCGGUGAAGAUGCCGGUUACCUGCAGUUAGACGAAAAGACCCCGGGAGCUUUACUGCAACUUGAUAUUGAGAUUACGUUUGACAUACGUAGCAUAGUGGUCAGAGGUUUGACGGUUUCGUUUUCGGAUGGAAUCUACUCGACAGUGAAAUAGCCAUUUUGUUUGAUGUAAUUUCUAACCUCGGCGGCAAAAACGACGAGAGACAGUUUCUGGUGGGCAGUUUUAGUGGGGCG
rnacentral:rRNA from 1 species